AGGAAAAAAUGACAUAACAGUGGUUAAUAGCAUACAACUAGCAUCCGAAUCGGAUGAGUCGUAUUGCUAUUACAUUGUGAAACAAAAUCCAUGUUAGAAUUAAAGAACAACACAAAAUACAAUAAAAACUGUCCAUCGCACUUGCAUCUGAAUCGGAUGCCUUUGUAUUGUUUUGUAACUUUUUUUGUUUAUUGUUGCAGCUGCUGUUGUACCGUUAUUCAUUUUUGAUGCUUCUUUCUUUUUUGAAGCAAAAUUUUAUUCUGUGAAGUGUUUUUGAAAUUGCAAGUAGUGAAUUUUGAACAAAAGUUAAUAAAAUAAGAAUAUAGUAAGUGUUGUGUGUUAAAUAAGUUAAAUAAAAUGUCAGGAUUCAGUAGGAGUAAUUUAAGACGACUAAAGGAAGUGGAAGCAGACAAUUUAAAAAGAAAUGCACAGUUGAGGACGGACUGUUUGGAAAACAAUGAUAUUCUACAAAAUGAGCAGAUUCCAUGCAUUCCAAAAUUGUAGAAGAUUUUAGAAAAUAUGUAAGAAUAUUAAAAACUCUCCGUUAUAAUCCAUUAAUAAUUUAAAUUCUUUCAGCUAUGAUGGUACCCAAAAUAAAAAGGCGUUUAAGGAAUAUAAAUUUUAAUCAUGGCCAUUUUCGAAGCUGUCAUAUGUGAAGGAUUCAAUGAACAGGAUUAGAAAUUGUUUCAAAUUCCCUAAGGCCAGACACUUCCGAACAAUGUCCUACAAUAUAAAACUGGAAAAAUAUAUUUUUUUUCCUUUAGUUUAAGCUUUAUUUCUUCCCACGUCUUUUGAAUAAGUUUUAUGA